rnacentral:rRNA from 1 species
CGGGACGGGGUGGAGUAAUGUCUGGGAAACUGCCUGAUGGAGGGGGGUAACUACUGGAAACGGUAGCUAAUACCGCAUAACGUCGCAAGACCAAAGAGGGGGACCUUCGGACCUCUUGCCAUCGGAUGUGCCCAGAUGGGAUUAGCUAGUAGGUGGGGUAACGGCUCACCUAGGCGACGAUCCCUAGCUGGUCUGAGAGGAUGACCAGCCACACUGGAACUGAGACACGGUCCAG